rnacentral:rRNA from 1 species
AGUCAACCUGCCCUCGGGUCGAGAAUAAUCUCGGGAAACUGAGGCUAAUGAGCGAUAGGUCAAGAUUCCUGGAAUGGGUUUUGGUCUAAACGGCGUGACAGCAUCUUGUCAUGUCCGCCCGAGGAUGGGACUGCGGCCGAUCAGGCUGUUGGUGGGGUAAAGGCCCACCAAACCAGUAACCGGUACGGGCUUUGAGAGAAGGAGCCCGGAGAUGGACACUGAGACAAGGGUCCAGGUCCUACGGGGCGCAGCAGGCGCGAAACCUUCGCAAUGCGCGCAAGCGCGACGAGGUUAUUCUGAGUGAUUUCCGCUGAGGAAAUCUUUUCUCAGAUCUAAAAAGUCUGGGGAAUAAGGGGAGGGCAAGUCUGGUGUCAGCCGCCGCGGUAAUACCAGCUCCUCGAGUGGCCAGGGCGUUUAUUGGGCCUAAAGCAUCCGUAGCCUGCUUGGUAGGUCUCCUGUUAAAUCCAAUGACUCAAUCAUUGGUCUGCAGGAGAUACCGCUAGGCUAGGAGGCGGGGGAGGCGGACGGUACUCCGAGGGUAGGGGUAAAAUCCUUUGAUCCCCGGAAGACCACCAGUGGCGAAGGCGGUCCGCCAGAACGCGCUCGACGGUGAGGGAUGAAAGCUGGGGGAGCGAACCGGAUUAGGUACCCGGGUAGUCCCAGCCGUAAACGAUGCUAGCUAGAUGAUUCAUUCGCAAGUCGCGAAUGAAGUGUCGCAGGGAAGCCGUUAAGCUAGCCGCCUGGGGAGUACGGUCGCAAGACUGAAACUUAA